rnacentral:lncRNA from 1 species
AUUCAAAUGAAUUCUUUUUAACGGCUGAGUAAUACUCCAUUGUGUAUAAGGAAUCAAUCUUCUCUUGGCAAGUAUAUAGUGACUUUUACUGUUUGAGUCAUAAAGAACACAUAUCCUACCUCAAUUUUUUCUUUCCAAAUCACAGAUUCUAAAUGCUGCUCUCAGUUUCUGUAAAGUCUAUUCUCCUUGGAAAUCAGACUCAUUUUUCCUCAUUUAUGCUCUACAGUGAUGUGAGAAAGCCCAUAGAUUGACUCUAGUGUGAUUUUUUUCUCACAGGGGAAACUCCAGGAAUCUUUGGAGAGACUAAAGGGGGAACAGCAGAAAGUUGAGAUGCUGGAAGAUGAAAUUCAAGAAGAGAUUUCUACCUGGAAGAAUCAAAUACAGCAUGAAAGAGAAAAUAUUUAGACAGAGUUUAAAAAACUGAGAGAGAUCCUGGACAGUGAGGAGCUGAAGUAACUGCAAAACCUGAAGACUGAGGAGGAAGCUGGUCUGGGUAACCUGGCCGACUCUGAGGAUAAGCUAGUCCAGCAGAACCAGUUGGUGAGCAAUCUCAUCUCACAUGUGGAGCAUCAGUUGCAGAGGUCAACCACUGAGAUGAUGCAGGAUGUGAAUGCCAUCAUGAAAAGUUCAGGUGACCUUGAAUUCUUUCACAAGUAAUCCAAAUG